rnacentral:rRNA from 1 species
AGGGCGCACGGUGGAUGCCUUGGCACUAGAAGCCGAUGAAGGACGUUACUAACGACGAUAUGCUUUGGGGAGCUGUAAGUAAGCUUUGAUCCAGAGAUUUCCGAAUGGGGAAACCCAGCAUGAGUUAUGUCAUGUUAUCGAUAUGUGAAUACAUAGCAUAUCAGAAGGCACACCCGGAGAACUGAAACAUCUUAGUACCCGGAGGAAGAGAAAGAAAAUUCGAUUCCCUUAGUAGCGGCGAGCGAAACGGGAAGAGCCCAAACCAACAAGCUUGCUUGUUGGGGUUGUAGGACACUCUGUACGGAGUUACAAAGGACGACAUUAGACGAAUCAUCUGGAAAGAUGAAUCAAAGAAGGUAAUAAUCCUGUAGUCGAAAAUGUUGUCUCUCUUGAGUGGAUCCUGAGUACGACGGAGCACGUGAAAUUCCGUCGGAAUCUGGGAGGACCAUCUCCUAAGGCUAAAUACUCUCUAGUGACCGAUAGUGAACCAGUACCGUGAGGGAAAGGUGAAAAGCACCCCGGAAGGGGAGUGAAAUAGAACCUGAAACCGUGUGCUUACAAGUAGUCAGAGCCCGUUAAUGGGUGAUGGCGUGCCUUUUGUAGAAUGAACCGGCGAGUUACGAUUUGAUGCAAGGUUAAGCAGUAAAUGUGGAGCCGUAGCGAAAGCGAGUCUGAAUAGGGCGUUUAGUAUUUGGUCGUAGACCCGAAACCAGGUGAUCUACCCUUGGUCAGGUUGAAGUUCAGGUAACACUGAAUGGAGGACCGAACCGACUUACGUUGAAAAGUGAGCGGAUGAACUGAGGGUAGCGGAGAAAUUCCAAUCGAACCUGGAGAUAGCUGGUUCUCUCCGAAAUAGCUUUAGGGCUAGCCUCAAGUGAUGAUUAUUGGAGGUAGAGCACUGUUUGGACGAGGGGCCCCUCUCGGGUUACCGAAUUCAGACAAACUCCGAAUGCCAAUUAAUUUAACUUGGGAGUCAGAACAUGGGUGAUAAGGUCCGUGUUCGAAAGGGAAACAGCCCAGACCACCAGCUAAGGUCCCAAAAUAUAUGUUAAGUGGAAAAGGAUGUGGCGUUGCCCAGACAACUAGGAUGUUGGCUUAGAAGCAGCCAUCAUUUAAAGAGUGCGUAAUAGCUCACUAGUCGAGUGACACUGCGCCGAAAAUGUACCGGGGCUAAACAUAUUACCGAAGCUGUGGAUUGUCCUUUGGACAAUGGUAGGAGAGCGUUCUAAGGGCGUUGAAGCAUGAUCGUAAGGACAUGUGGAGCGCUUAGAAGUGAGAAUGCCGGUGUGAGUAGCGAAAGACGGGUGAGAAUCCCGUCCACCGAUUGACUAAGGUUUCCAGAGGAAGGCUCGUCCGCUCUGGGUUAGUCGGGUCCUAAGCUGAGGCCGACAGGCGUAGGCGAUGGAUAACAGGUUGAUAUUCCUGUACCACCUAUAAUCGUUUUAAUCGAUGGGGGGACGCAGUAGGAUAGGCGAAGCGUGCGAUUGGAUUGCACGUCUAAGCAGUAAGGCUGAGUAUUAGGCAAAUCCGGUACUCGUUAAGGCUGAGCUGUGAUGGGGAGAAGACAUUGAGUCUUCGAGUCGUUGAUUUCACACUGCCGAGAAAAGCCUCUAGAUAGAAAAUAGGUGCCCGUACCGCAAACCGACACAGGUAGUCAAGAUGAGAAUUCUAAGGUGAGCGAGCGAACUCUCGUUAAGGAACUCGGCAAAAUGACCCCGUAACUUCGGGAGAAGGGGUGCUCUUUAGGGUUAACGCCCAGAAGAGCCGCAGUGAAUAGGCCCAAGCGACUGUUUAUCAAAAACACAGGUCUCUGCUAAACCGUAAGGUGAUGUAUAGGGGCUGACGCCUGCCCGGUGCUGGAAGGUUAAGAGGAGUGGUUAGCUUCUGCGAAGCUACGAAUCGAAGCCCCAGUAAACGGCGGCCGUAACUAUAACGGUCCUAAGGUAGCGAAAUUCCUUGUCGGGUAAGUUCCGACCCGCACGAAAGGCGUAACGAUUUGGGCACUGUCUCAACGAGAGACUCGGUGAAAUCAUAGUACCUGUGAAGAUGCAGGUUACCCGCGACAGGACGGAAAGACCCCGUGGAGCUUUACUGUAGCCUGAUAUUGAAAUUCGGCACAGCUUGUACAGGAUAGGUAGGAGCCUUUGAAACGUGAGCGCUAGCUUACGUGGAGGCGCUGGUGGGAUACUACCCUAGCUGUGUUGGCUUUCUAACCCGCACCACUUAUCGUGGUGGGAGACAGUGUCAGGCGGGCAGUUUGACUGGGGCGGUCGCCUCCUAAAAGGUAACGGAGGCGCUCAAAGGUUCCCUCAGAAUGGUUGGAAAUCAUUCAUAGAGUGUAAAGGCAUAAGGGAGCUUGACUGCGAGACCUACAAGUCGAGCAGGGUCGAAAGACGGACUUAGUGAUCCGGUGGUUCCGCAUGGAAGGGCCAUCGCUCAACGGAUAAAAGCUACCCCGGGGAUAACAGGCUUAUCUCCCCCAAGAGUUCACAUCGACGGGGAGGUUUGGCACCUCGAUGUCGGCUCAUCGCAUCCUGGGGCUGUAGUCGGUCCCAAGGGUUGGGCUGUUCGCCCAUUAAAGCGGUACGCGAGCUGGGUUCAGAACGUCGUGAGACAGUUCGGUCCCUAUCCGUCGUGGGCGUAGGAAAUUUGAGAGGAGCUGUCCUUAGUACGAGAGGACCGGGAUGGACAUACCUCUGGUGUACCAGUUGUCGUGCCAACGGCAUAGCUGGGUAGCUAUGUGUGGACGGGAUAAGUGCUGAAAGCAUCUAAGCAUGAAGCCCCCCUCAAGAUGAGAUUUCCCAACUUCGGUUAU